UACGGGGGAUGCAAGCGUUAUCCGGAUUUAUUGGGUUUAAAGGGUGCGUAGGCCGUGAGGUAAGUCAGCGGUGAAAUGCCCCCGCUCAACGGGGUGAAGUGCCAUUGAUACUGCCUUGCUGGAAUGCGGAUGCCGUGGGAGGAAUGUGUGGUGUAGCGGUGAAAUGCAUAGAUAUCACACAGAACACCGAUUGCGAAGGCAUCUCACGAAUCCGCGAUUGACGCUGAUGCACGAAAGCGUGGGUAUCAAACAGG
rnacentral:rRNA from 1 species